GGGUCGAUGGCGUAGCUGGUUAUCGCAUCUGUCUAACAUAAAAGGGGACUGCGUUGUGCACAGAAGGUCCUCAGUUCGAACCUGGGUCGACUCA